rnacentral:rRNA from 1 species
AACGAACGCUGGCGGCAGGCCUAACACAUGCAAGUCGAACGCCCUAGCAAUAGGGAGUGGCAGACGGGUGAGUAACGCGUGGGAACGUGCCUUUCGGUUCGGAAUAACUCAGGGAAACUUGAGCUAAUACCGGAUACGCCCUUCGGGGGAAAGAUUUAUUGCCGAAAGAUCAGCCCGCGUCCGAUUAGCUAGUUGGUGAGGUAAAGGCUCACCAAGACGACGAGCGGUAGCUGGUCUGAGAGGAUGAUCAGCCACACUGGGACUGAGACAAGGCCCAGACGCCUACAGGAGGCAGCAGUGAGGAAUAUGGGACAAUGGGCGCAAGCCUGAUCCAGCCAUGCCGCGUGAGUGAUGAAGGCCCUAGGGUUGUAAAGCUCUUUCGCCAGGGACGAUAAUGACGGUACCUGGAUAAGAAGCCCCGGCUAACUUCGUGCCAGCCGCCGCGGUAA